GUAGGCAAGAGCAACUCACAUAUGCCUCGAUUGUGGCUUUAUUUACACCUUACAAAAGCCUUUUGACGAGCAGCCUGAUGGUUAUGCGUGCCCGCAAUGUCUAGCCCCAAAGAAAAGAUUUGCAGAAUAUGACGUCAAUACUGGAAAAGCAAUUGGUGGUGGUUUGCCACCUAUAGGAGUUAUCGUGGGUUUGAUCGCCGGGAUUGCAGGAGUUGGAGCUUUGCUUGUAUAUGGUCUUCAAUAAUUUGAUGAUUUUGAUUCUAAGACUCUUAUCUAAUUAUAUGUACUGUUAUAAAGAAAAUAUCUAUUUUUCUACCGCACCAAA